rnacentral:rRNA from 1 species
CCUACGGGAGGCUGCAGUAGGGAAUCUUCCACAAUGGACGAAAGUCUGAUGGAGCAACGCCGCGUGAGUGAAGAAGGGUUUCGGCUCGUAAAGCUCUGUUGGUAGUGAAGAAAGAUAGAGGUAGUAACUGGCAUUUAUUUGACGGUAAUUACUUAGAAAGUCACGGCUAACUACGUGCCAGCAGCCGCGGUAAUACGAUGGUGGCAAGCGUUGUCCGGAUGUAUUGGGCGUAAAGCUAGUGCAGGCGGUUCAAUAAGUCUGAUGUGAAAGCCUUCGGCUCAACCGGAGAAUUGCAUCAGAAACUGUUGAACUUUAGUGCAGAAGAGGAGAGUGGAACUCCUGGUGUAGCGGUGGAAUGCGUAGAUAUAUGGAAGAACACCAGUGGCGAAGGCGGCUCUCUGGUCUGCAACUGACGCUGAGGCUCGAAAGCAUGGGUAGCGAACAGGAUUAGAUACCCCAGUAGUC